rnacentral:lncRNA from 1 species
AUUGAAAGAGGAGGAGAGGAGGAGAGACCCACAGUUGAUCUCUGAGAAGUGAGUAGCUGGAGGCACCAGGAUACCAGCCAAGCCUAAAGGAUAAAGCAAAUCCCUGGACAUGGCUUUUGAUUCCAAGCUAAGAAGUGCAAGGAAGGUGGUGCAUUCUUGAGAUUGAGAAUACAGAUGAGAAGCAGGUUUGAAUGGUGAAGAAAUGAUGGACGCUGUUUGUCUCAAACAAGGACUCUAAUGAUACAACAGAACAAGUCACAAGAAAGCUUGCCUGGAAAACCAUACACUGGCCUCUUCGUGGUGAAGUCCUUCACAAUCCUUACAAACAUAGAAAAUAUUCAGCAAUUCGUUUGUUUGUUUUCCAGUCCACUCUUACUUGAGAAAAAUGCAAAACAUCAAAGACACAGAAAAACCACCAGUCUAUACAGCUUGCCCAUACUAAAUUGUUAUUCAUUUCAGAAGAGUGUACAGUUUCUUUCUGUAAGACUCUAUUAAACCAGUUACUCUACAAUAGCAAACAUUUUAGGCAAACCUAACCAUUGCUUCCCAUAAAGAUAUUUAUAUCUUUAAGUGGUAUCUGAUUCAUCCCUAAGAAAUAUGUUAUCAAGAUGUUUGUUUGUUUGUUUGUUUGUUCAUUUGUUUUUGAGAUGGAGUUUCACUCUUGUUGCCCAGGCUGGAGUGCAGUGGCAUGAUCUCGGUUCACUGCAACCUCUGCCUCCCGGUUCAAGCGAUUCUCCUGCCUCAGCCUCCCGAGUAGCUGGGAUUACUGGCACCCACCACCACUCCCAGCUAAUUUUUUGUAUUUUUAAUAGAGACGGGGUUUCACCAUGUUGGCCAGGCUGGUCUCAAACUCCUGACCUCAGGUGAUCCACUUGCCUCGACCUCCCAAAGUGCUGGGAUAACAGGCAUGAGCCAUUGCACCCGGCCGAAGAUUUUUGUUUUGACUGUUUUUUUCUGAACUACAGGGAAACGAAGGCUUUUAUGUUAUUGUCCCCCUUUUCUCACUAACUGGACUUCCUGUGACACGUGAAGACGCUAUGCAUGUUUAAUAAAUACACUUUGAAUUUAAUGCUCAAGGAAGAUAA